CUACCUGUUUCCACACUCCAAUUACACUUUCAGCCUUUCUAACAUCAUAUUUCAAAUGAUUAUAUGUCGUGUAGACGUCCAGUCAACCUCCACUUUUCAACAACAUUUUACCCAUUGAUUAAUUAAUAGAGAUCCUUUCUGAUAUCAGCUCAAAUGUCCUCAAGAUCUGACUGAACUCGUGACAUCAUCUGUGACGUAAUGACAGGAUGUGAAUCAGCCUGUUUCAGCUCACUGAUGAUGUCAUGGUACUAAAGUGGUAACUCCUUCUAUGACAUCACAUGUGAUGUCAUGAGUCCACACAGGGAAGUUUAUAAAUAGACCUUCAAAUCAAUCAAUUCAUCGAGCUGAGGUCGACUAGGCUCCCUUAGAUGGAAGGCGUCCUCAUUCACAGCUUCAGAGGUGACCGAGUUGAGUCGCUGAAGUACCGCCAGAGAGUUUCCCGCUCUGGAGGUCAGAGUCAGCGUGCAAGAACUGGGCCUUGGGAAAGCAGUGCUCGACUUGUGUGUUGAGGCCCACCUCUGAAGCUGUGAUUGAGGACGCCUUCCAUCUUCGUAAAAAGAAAAACCCGGGUUAGGAUCGUAUUCCUGGAUUUGGAUUCAGUCUUUGGAAUAUGCCCAAAGACUCCUUCUGGGGCGAUUGUAUUUUUCCAUGGAGGAAUACUUGAUCACUUCCAAAUUGAACUGAAGUUUAGGGAGUAAGAUGCACCUGAACUUAACCCUAAUCAUAU